GUUUGGUAUAGGCAUCUUUUGGUCACUGACAGAGAUGGAAUUCUUGCCGUAUUCAGACUAUUUGAAAAUACCAAUGAACAAAUUAGAAUACAGAUAUGCAUUAAAGUGUUCCAUUUAAGAGGCUUUCCCUAUAUCAGUUGCUUUUCUCAAUGUCAUGGCUUCUUUUCUAUAGUUACAUGCAGAACAGAGAUUUCCUAGAAUGUUAAUAUGUAUAUCUAAAUUUGCUUCAGAG